AAGUCGUAACAAGGUUUCCGUAGGUGAACCUGCGGAAGGAUCAUUACAGUAUAUUGAAUUUAUAUUCAUAUCAACCCACACUGUGUACCUUUUAUUUGUUGCUUCCAUGGGAAAUGGCUCUGCCACGUCGGCCUUUGGGCUGGUGAGUGCCCAUGGAAGAAAACCUUUACUCUUUUUAUUUUUGAAGUAUGUCUGAAUUGUUUUUUAUAAACGUUAAAACUUUCAACAACGGAUCUCUUGGUUCUC
rnacentral:misc_RNA from 1 species